UGGCUCAUACGGUAAAGCGUCUGCCUGCAAUGCAGGAGACCCGGGUUCGAUCCCUGG
rnacentral:tRNA from 1 species